rnacentral:rRNA from 1 species
AUUGAACGCUGGCGGCAGGCCUACCACAUGCAAGUCGAACGAGUGGCGGACGGGUGAGUAAUGUCUGGGAAAUUGCCCGAUGGAGGGGGAUAACUACUGGCAACGGUAGCUAAUACCGCAUACCAUCGGAUGUGCCCAGAUGGGAUGAGCUAGUAGGUGGGGUAACGGCUCACCUAGGCGACGUUCCCUGGCUGGUCUGAGAGAAUUACCAGCAAAACUGGAACUGAGAGGCGGGCCAGAAUCCUACGGUGGGCAGCAGUGGGGAAUAUUGCUCAAUGGGCGCAAGCCUGAUGCAGCCGUGCCGCGUGUAUGAAGAAGGCCUUCGGGUUGUAAAGUACUUUCAGCGAGGAGGCGUUACUCGCAGAAGAAACACCAGCGAACACCGAGCCAGCAGCCGCGGUAAUAC